UUCAAUGAAACUAAACAUCAGCAAUAACAAACCCAAACCUGUUCUUCAAGACAUGCUCAGUACUCUCUUCUCUCUCUCUCUCUCUCUCUAGCAUUGCAUUGUAUGAUUCUGAUUUUUAUAAGCUUUAUUUACUUCUGUGACAGAUUCUGAGGUCUGUUACCUCCCUCCAUUCUCAAUCCCCAAAUCAUCUUCCUCAUCUCAAAUCUCCUAAAUCUUGUUAUUUCACAAACCCAUCUCUUAAAGAUGCCAUUUUUUUUUGUUUUUUUUCUUUUUUUACUGAAUUUUAGCACUGUUAGCUGUUACCCUGUUAAAUUGCACUAGGUAGUUAGGUCUUGUUUGGAUAAACUUUUUAAUUUAGAGAUUAUCAUAUAAGUGUUUUAUCUAUAAGCUAUUUCUAUUACAAAAGACAAAAUAGAAUCAAACCAUUUUCAUAUAAGCUGUUUUCAUAAGCUAUCCUAAAGAGCUUAUGAAAAUAUGCUGAACACAACUUAUGAAUAUUAUAAGCUGUUUCAAUAAACUCUUUCAAAUAAUCUCACAAGAGAUAAACUCAAAUAAGUCAAUCGAAACAAGCCUAGUUGGUAGUUGAACAUCUAGCAUGGAGUUUCCUGUUGCAAAGUUUAGGGUGGUCUCAACAGACAUGAAUAACUCUUUAGCUUGUGAACAAUUAGUUGUGUGAAUACACACUUUGAUAGUUCUUUUUACUGUGGAGUUUGUACAAGUUUAGAAUGGAAUGAUGGAAUACUUUGUUAUCAUAUCCAAUCCAAGAUUUUUAACUGCUUACAUAGAUACUUUAAAUUUCUGUACAUUUGCUUUGCACCUUGAAAAUUCAUCUCACAGAAGUUAUGCUAGGCUUGAAUGUUGAAUGAGUUCUUUUACUGUCAAAUAGUAGUUGCUCAAGAAUAACGAGUCACAAUUUAUAGCACUUUAGCUCCUCUUUUGGUUAGUCAGAUUGAAAAUUUAGAAUGCACAUUGUGUGUAUAGAAUUAUGUACUUUAUCUACUGCUACUUUUGGGACAUGACAUUGCUACCAUCGAAACUCUUUUAAACUUCAAAGAUGCCAUGGUACUGUUUUUUUUUUUUUUUUUGCUCAUGUAGGAUGUUUCACAGUGAUCUGUCAUGUGUGGAAGUUGUUACAAUGAGUGCCUUUAGGCUAUCCAACUUUAACAUUCUCUUCAACUGCAAUUAUCAAUGUUUUGAUGACUGUGUAAAGUAAAGUUAGCCUUAGGUUUGAAGCUUCAUUGAUUGAACAUGUACCUAAAAAUUUGGUCAAGUUCUUUGUAUGAUUGCUAACUUGUGAGUGGAAUUUGGCUUCUCCAUUUUGCAUAUUACGGCAAUCACUUCAGAUCAGAUAAGUCCCUGCAAAUUAAUAUCUUGCAAGGUCUAAAUAACUAGCUGGUGGAAAUGAAUGAAUUGUAUCCAUUCAUCAUCCCCUUCUUAUAGAUUUGGGAAUGAACAAUUUAUGUUUCAAAGUAAAAGCAUAGAGUUUCUCAUAUUGAUAUAUUUUUAAUAAUUAUUGUGAUAGAAGCUUUAAACACAUUUAACAUAGAAAAUAUGGAAGGCAGAGGAAUGAAAUCGAGAAUGGAUGGAUCCUCUCAUAUGUGUAAUUUACACAUUAGAGAGUAAAGUGUAAUCUUUCAUCCUAACACAUCAUCACACUUAUUCUCUCAUGUGUAAAUUACACAUGAGAGGAUCCAUUCCCAGUAAAAUCAUAUUCGGAAGGAAGAGUGUUAAAAAUGCUUAACAUCAUUGAAUUUGAAAGAUGUUAAGUUGUUCUUUGAUUCGUCUUAAGGAUGCAGGAAGGAGUAGAGCAGUGGGAGUGGAUCAUGAUUUUGGAGAAUGGUUGCAGGGAGGACAAAACAAUGGCGAGUGUGAAGAUUAUAGUUUAUGUUUGAAAGUCUGCAUAACCUACAAGCAGUUAAGUUACAACGUCUCUAUUGGCCAAUAGACUUACAGGAAAAGGUAUCUCCUACUUCUCAAAUUAUAUCUCUAGCCCCACAAAUUAUUUGCAGUACCUAAAUAAAUUUUCGAUUCUGUAGAUUUUUAAAGUUUGAGUUUGUCGUGAUAAAAACAGGUUAUGGCAAACUCAAACAACUAUGUCGAAACACAAUGAAGGUAGGAAAUUUUUAUUUCUUAAAAAUCUACAGAAUUUACAAGAUUUGCGGAAAACUAGGAAUAGAGGUAAAAUUUAAGGGGUAUAGAGUUAAAUAAAGUGUGUCGACACAAAUUGUUCAGCUCCUGCUCCCACAUAUAUUUAACAUAGAUUUACAAAUUUAAUACAGGAUUUGGUACUUUACUUUGGUUAGCCUUUGGAUUUAUAGCACAAGUAUUGUGUCAUAGAACUCUACGCGUUCAAAGGAUAAUAAUAACAUGACAUACUAUUGGCCAGUGACAAAAAUUAUAAAAUUACUUGUAUAAAGAAACAUGGUAGUAUUUAGUUAGUAUCUCUUGAAUUUCCCCAACAAAUAUAUUUCAUUCCCUUUAUUUCUUGAACAUCAUAU
rnacentral:lncRNA from 1 species